UCAUUAUCUCGAGACUCUGUGUCCAUCCAAAGAGGCAGCUGUUCCUAUUUGGCUUUGGCCAGUUUUUGUGAUGGGGUAAAAAAAAAAAAAAAAAAAAAAAAUGGGGGCCUGGCCUUGCCAGAUUCUCUGGGAAGCUGGAAAUCCGGACGUUUCAUGCGAAGCCUCCCAAUUUUCAGACGUUGGCAAUUAAUUCAAACUUAAAGGACUCUGCAAGCCAAACAAAACACAUCUGCAGGCCACAGAAGCCCUGGGAGCUUCCAUGUGUGACCUCGGAUACACGUGAACAGGUCUGUAGCAGAACAUGCCUCAUUGAAGAUAGCCCGUGAGCACUGGCCACACAGUUUCCUUGCAGGAGAUCCCCAGGAGGAGAGAAGAAACAAUAACCGAUCCGAGCGUUCGAGGACAGUAUCCGCCUGCUCGCUCUGAAGGUUCAGCUUUGAAAACACACCCUCGAAAGAUGGCUCAGCUGCUUUGGAAUCAUGGCAAGGAAGAAUUCACCAUUUCUGCUGCUGGGCCGAGUUCCUUUCGGAUUCCAGUGAAGUGAGCAGCUCCCGCCUGGAUUUUUCUUUGUCUUCGGAGGAGCGGGACCUGGUUUUAACUGGCACAUCUUCGUGUUGCUCACUCCUUAAGUAGUUUCACUUACUUUUUAACUGUUACAUGCCAACAAAACAGGUUGCUUAAUUGGUUUGACCUUUCACAGUAUUUUUUAAUUUUUCAAUCUUCGUUUCAUAGUUCCAUCUGGCCCUUUAAAACGACAUCUGGUUAACUGUACUUAACCAGCUGAUCACUGUACAGUUAUUUUUAAAUGUAAUGUAUGCUUAAACAGAUGUUAUUUUUAUAGAUGUGGAUCUAAACUGCACUUGUGUACGUGCUAUGUCUGCAUAAACUCUUUCUGUAAUUCAAAUGUUGACACCCAAAAUUACAAGCCAGAAUGCUUAUGAACUCCACUAUUAUGGUACUGCACUUUUGUGCUGCUUGUUAGGUAAACAUCAAUUCAGUUCUUUUUUUCUCUCUUCAUUGCACAUAAAUAAAACAUUAGCAUUUAGUUUAUAAAGUGAUGAACAUUUUGCUGUGUUGGAUUUAGCUUUAUAAAUACAACUGCUGUCAGCAAGAAAAAAGGAUUUAUUGAAUAAAUAAUAAGAAAGCUAAGGGAAAAUGAAAAUAUAUAUAUUAUGCAAAACAUGGUGUCUGUCAACAGGUCACAAAGGGGCCUCGAUGCUUUUGGUGUUGCUGUCGGAGAUAAUUCCAUCUCUGACACACAGUGUUGUGGAGUCCUGGACCUUCCUCUCACGGCAGAUUUCAAGAGCAAGCAAAGCCGCCUUCUCACGACCUGGAGAAACACUGACUUGAAGUCAAAGCAGGAUACCGGAGCUUCCGAAGGGCUCGGGGGCCCCGAAGAUCACCCAAAUAAACAGAACGAGGAAGCCAUACACAGGCAUAACCCCGGGUUUAUUUGUACCUGUCUUUGUCAGACAGCUGCAGUGCACAUGAGAGUCAUGAUCAGAGAAACAGAUCUACGGUACCCUACUGUAAUAUAAACUAUCCGUUUUUUAUUCUCCAUAAACACCACAGGCAAAUUCUUGUUCCUAUUUGACCAGCUGGGGUCCAAAAUGUACCUACCCAGUGCUUGGAGGUUUUCAUCCUACCGCCAAGGUCCAUUUCCACAUGAGUGUUCUGGUUUGUGCAUUUCAAGAUGCUUCUAUAGCAUUUAUGCACUUAUUUGUGGCUUAUCAGCUCAGGCUACAGAAUCAACUUUGGUAUAGAUUGGCAAGAGAGACAAAAUAGCCAUUUGAGAGUACGAAGUUUGGGUGUUAUGUCUGGCUGGAGGAAGCAGAUGGAGCAGAGAGAACUUCUGGAAAAAUUCUCCUGCAGGGACAGUCGUGGGUGUCUGUUUCUACUUUAUGGGGAAAAACAGUCCUGUUUUUAUGUUUGCUUUUCUCUAGUUAUUCCUCACAACAAGCCUCACCUGAGACGUAGGCAAAAAACAACCACAGUGAAAAUAAAAUCAUUCCUUCCCAUCACACACACAGUAAGACUGCUUUUCACUAAACAUCCAGCUGCACUGUUCGGAUGAGAUGAUGUGUUUAGGACCAAGAAGAGACCAAAUGCAAGGUCACGUGUUACAUUUGAGAAGGCACAUGUUAUGUCAGACAAAAUUUUUUUGGUUUUGGUUAUUAAUUCCUUUUUUAUAGAUAUUUCUUUUUUUUUUCUCUUAGAAAACUGCAGGUUGAGGGAAGUAAAGUUACUUUUGACUAAAAAAAUGCACACAGAAUGAUAGGAGGCUGGAUUUGUUGGAUAGCUUUUGACCAUAUUUUUAUCAUUAAUUUCAUUAUGGCAUAAAUUAUAAUAGCGAAAAUGGAAACAGUACUCAUGCUAGGGGCUGUUUAAGUAACCACUGACAUGGCAAAAUUAUGUCAUUAUGCUAAGUGGCAAAAAAAAAUAACUGCGUAUAUAUUACACAAUCUCAAAUAGGAAUAUGUCAUAGGCAGAGGGAAAAAAAACCUAAAAAAUAUCAAUAUAUUCAUAAUAACUAUUCCUGGGUAGUAGGCUCAUGAACUAUUUUUAUUUUCAUCUUCUUGUUUUUAUGUAUUUCCCAAAUGUUUUACAUUGAACAUAUAUUUCUUUAAUAAUCACAAAAAUGUGAUGGAAAGCACGAUAAAGGCAUUUUCUCCUAAGAAAGGCAUUUGUUACCUUAAUAACAUGAGUUCUGGCAUCUUUGGGCAAGAAUGCAAGUAGAUAUGAAGUAUACUGAGUUAUAUUUUUGUAGGAAUUUUAUUAAAUUUGGAAGAGAUGAAUUAGGGAACUCUUUUUCCUCGCAGUAAGAUACCUUAAGAUCAUCUGCUACCUGGUUACUGAAAUAAUGCCCUAGAUGGUCUCCCUGACUAUAUUAAUCCCUCUCUUUGUCUCUUCCUCCCUCUUUUUUCUUCCUUUCUUCCCUUCCUUAAUAAACAUGUAUUGAUUGUUAAAUGUAUGCCAGGUAUUCAGCGUCAGAGCCAAAAGAGAGCACCCCUCUGUGCAAUUGGCAGUAGUGUGUGGGAGACAGUGGAUGAACAAGUAACAGUAUCCAAGAAACACAUCAACAGUUGUGUGAGGGCAGAGCACCUAAAAGAGCAGAGGUGAUGGGGCGCCUGGGUGGCUCAGUGGGUUAAAGCCUUUGCCUUCAGCUCAGGUCAUGAUCUCAGGGUCCUGGAAUCCAGCCCCGCUUCUGGCUCUCUGCUGAGCAGGGAGCCUGCUUCCCCCACCCUCUGUCUGCCUGCGUCUCUGCCUACUUGUGAUCUCUAUCAAAUAAAUAAAUAAAAUAUUAAAAAAAAAAAAAAAGAAGAAGAAGAAGAAGAAGAAGGCAGAGGUGAGCAGUCCUGGCAUUUGCAGAGUGGGAGGGAAGCCCUCUCUACAGCAGGGAUAUUUGUGCAGAAAACUCUAUGAGGGAACUGUGUGUACCCAGUGCAGGAGAAUGCUGGUGGGCGUGAGCUGGGACCUACACUAUGUACUUGUCAUUCCUGUCUUAAACCCUUCCUACCACUCCCGUAGGGUUUUAUACACAAGCACACACUCAGAUGUGUAUUGGCUUGUUUGAAAUACAUACCAGCUAAGUCUCCAAACGGUAGGACCCGGGAGACUGAAUUAAAUCCUAUCAGUCUAUAGAUGACCAUAAUUCCACCCCCAAAACAGCCUGCCUUCCAUGAGGCCUGUCUUCCAACCAGACGUUCUCUGACUCACUGUUGUUGAAUAUGGAAAGCUUUACUUGUGGCAGCAUGGGGAUGAGGGAUCGUGUAAAACGCAUUCUGCAUUUCAUCGGAGUGGAAGUUUUUCUGUAUCCAGUGCCUUGAUGUAAAGGCGGUAGUAGGAAUAUCAGACUCUGCAAAAUUAUUACUGAGUUCCUAGAACACACUAAACUAAUUUCUAAACACUUUAAUGCAGUGUCAAGUGAUCAGUUAGUAGUGUUAGCAUACGUGGCUAGCUGCUUAUAAUUCAAUGUUUUUCCUCAAUAAAAAUAUUUUGGCUUAAUCUCAAAAUCAUCAAAAAGACUAGACAUUGGUUAGUCCAAACCACUCAUGCUUUCUGAAUUUGUAGCAAUUACUUUCCACAAAGAGGAUGCCCACCCAGCUGGAAGAAAGCUGAAAGAGCAAAAGAAUUUUUGCCUUGAUGGAUGCCAAGAGAGGUUUCAAGUUCUUUUUCCCCACUGGGUUGAUCACACCAAUCAUUUUCACCUUUGAAAAUGUAAGUGGUACUAUGUCCCUCGGCUUGAUGAAGGCAAUGAUGUAUCUACUAUUAAUGAGGGGCUAUCACUCUUGAAUAAGGUCAUCUUUUAAAAAUUAAGAAAAAAUGUAAUAGUGAUUGUAGCGAUAACACAGUUUCCAUAGGAGAGAGUCUAGUAAGAGAAAGUCGAUGAUGACAAAUACGGGACAGGAUCAACCUUCCCCCUCCACCGAAAACAAGAUGUUGAUCACGAAAUGAUAUCUUGGGCCUGGAAUUUAAAAAUUUAUCAUAAACAACUAUCGCCUUCCAGACAUGUAUAAUGGAUUGUACUUGUAUCAACAGUAAGUUCCUUUUCAGUUUUUUUCCAUGUUAACUUCUUUUUACAUGGUAUUAUUUUCCUCAAAUGGCAUUUCCACUGACAGCUAUGCCAAAUGCACUGUGUAAUUAUCAUGUCGUCAGUUUCUUUUUCUACAGUUCUUUUUAAUUACAAAAUAAUACCCUUUUGAAGCGUACAUCUUUGAUAUCUUAACCAUCGUUGGGUCAAUAUAGCAGUGUGUGCUCAUUAUCAAUAUAUUUUAAUUAUUUCAUUCUUUCUAAUGCCCCAUUUUUGUUUUCCAUGAACUGCCAGGUAAUUAUGUUUGUAUCAGGAUAAAUAAUUAACGUUCUCUGGAGCAAAACGACUGUUAUUUUUCUUUUAUCCUUUUUUUCUUUUCCCCCAGACAUGGCAAGACAAUAAAUAGGCAUUUACCUAAGAUUGACUAAAUAUGUCUUUUUCUUAGGGCAACAACAACUUAUUGGUGAUUUAAGAUUUGUUUUUGGUAGCUCAGAAUUGCCAAGAACCAAAGCUUCUGGGCUCCUAACUUCUAUUUAAACAGAGCAAUGCUGCUUUCAUCACAUGGGUAAAUCCCCGUCUGUCCUAUUUCACGCCCUAAUCCAACCCCCACAGCAGGUAUAGAUUUAUAUGGGUAUAAUUACUAUAUAAAUGUUUUCAUUUGGAAAGAUACAUCUCUAAAGUAAAUUCUAUAUAAUAAGGCAACAAAAACAUGAGCAAAUCUACAAAUAUUCAUUGAGAAGAAAUUAUGAUGAGUUAUAAGUCCAGAAACAAAGUGGAUAAAGUGAGGUUUGGUAGGUAAUGCUUGAGGGAAAGACCAGGAACUAGGUGAAUGGAGCAGACGAUGUCUAGGGCACAGAACUGCAAUGAGUUUCAUUUCUUCAUUGUUACUGUAAAAUGGCUUCUUAGCAAUUUUACCUCUAAGGUACUAUUCCAAAAGGAGGGGCAAGGUACUUUAGUACUAGCUGUGUGACAACUGUUGAGUUACUUAAUGUCUCUGUGUUAAUGGCCUUCUCAUCGGUAAAGCAGGGGCUAAUGAGAGAGCCUGUGUGGUUCUAAGGGCAGUUUUAUAAGGCCAAUUGCAAUACUAAGAUAGAUUGCAAAUUCCUACAAUUCUUCAAGCUAAAGAUUCCAACGUCUUAAGCAUUUCUCAAAUGAGAAACUUUCGAAGGCCCUCGCUGUUUUGGUCAUUUUCCCUUUUUUGGCGGGGGGGGGGGGUCUAUUUUUAAGUUUGAAGGCUUCCGAUGAGCUAUAGACACCUCAGAAAAAAACCCGAGCUGCACAAAGCAAGACACAAUAACUAUCCUGUGCAUUUCCAUCCAACAAUAAAACCUAGUUUUACCUUUGAAUUUUCAGCUUUCUGAUUUUAUCUACUUUUCCACC